GACGAACCGUGCGAACGUUGUUCGGAAUCACUGGGCUUAAAGGGCGCGUAGGCGGCCUAUCAAGUCCGGGGUGAAAGCCCCCAGCUUAACUGGGGAAGUGCCUUGGAUACUGGUGUGCUCGAGGGAGGUAGGGGUCGAGGGAACUUCUGGUGGAGCGGUGAAAUGCGUUGAUAUCAGAAGGAACGCCGGUGGCGAAAGCGCUCGACUGGACCUUUUCUGACGCUGAGGCGCGAAAGCUAGGGGAGCAAACGGG
rnacentral:rRNA from 1 species